rnacentral:rRNA from 1 species
GACGAACGCUGGCGGCGUGCUUAACACAUGCAAGUCGAACGGAAAGGCCCUGCUUUUGUGGGGUGCUCGAGUGGCGAACGGGUGAGUAACACGUGAGUAACCUGCCCUUGACUUUGGGAUAACUUCAGGAAACUGGGGCUAAUACCGGAUAGGAGCUCCUGCUGCAUGGUGGGGGUUGGAAAGUUUCGGCGGUUGGGGAUUGACUCGCGGCUUAUCAGCUUGUUGGUGGGGUAGUGGCUUACCAAGGCUUUGACGGGUAGCCGGCCUGCGAGGGCGUCAGGCCUCAAUGGGGCUAGGAUACCGCCCAGACUCCUACGGGAGGCAGCAGUGGGGAAUAUUGAACAAUGGGCGGAAGCCUGCUGCAGCAACGACGCGUGCGGGAUGACGGCCUUCGGUUUGUAAACCGCUUUCGCCUGUGACGAAGCGUGAGUGACGGUAAUGGGUAAAGAAGCACCGGCUAACUACGUG